GCCCAGACUCCUACGGGAGGCAGCAGUGGGGAAUAUUGCACAAUGGGGGAAACCCUGAUGCAGCGACGCCGCGUGAGCGAUGAAGUAUUUCGGUAUGUAAAGCUCUAUCAGCAGGGAAGAAGAUGACGGUACCUGACUAAGAAGCCCCGGCUAACUACGUGCCAGCAGCCGCGGUAAUACGUAGGGGGCAAGCGUUAUCCGGAUUUACUGGGUGUAAAGGGAGCGUAGACGGCGAUGCAAGCCAGAUGUGAAAGCCCGGGGCUCAACCCCGGGACUGCAUUUGGAACUGUGUGGCUGGAGUGUCGGAGAGGCAGGCGGAAUUCCUAGUGUAGCGGUGAAAUGCGUAGAUAUUAGGAGGAACACCAGUGGCGAAGGCGGCCUGCUGGACGAUGACUGACGUUGAGGCUCGAAAGCGUGGGGAGCAAACAGGAUUAGAUACCCCGGUAC
rnacentral:rRNA from 1 species